rnacentral:rRNA from 1 species
UACGUAGGGUGCGAGCGUUAUUCGGAUUUACUGGGCGUAAAGCGUGUGUAGGUGGUUUGAUGCGUCUUCGAUUAAAGACCCAGGCUCAACCUGGGGAAUGUUGAAGAUACGGUCUAACUAGAGGUUUGCAGGGGCAGAUGGAAUUCCCGGUGUAGCAGUGAUAUGCGUAGAUAUCGGGAAGAACACCAAUGGCGAAAGCAGUCUGCUGGGCUUAUCCUGACACUGAGACACGAAAGCGUGGGGAGCGAACGGG